rnacentral:rRNA from 1 species
CCUACGGGUGGCAGCAGUCGAGAAUCAUUCACAAUGGGGGAAACCCUGAUGGUGCGACGCCGCGUGGGGGAAUGAAGGUCUUCGGAUUGUAAACCCCUGUCAUGUGGGAGCAAAUUAAAAAGAUAGUACCACAAGAGGAAGAGACGGCUAACUCUGUGCCAGCAGCCGCGGUAAUACAGAGGUCUCAAGCGUUGUUCGGAAUCACUGGGCGUAAAGCGUGCGUAGGCUGUUUCGUAAGUCGUGUGUGAAAGGCGCGGGCUCAACCCGCGGACGGCACAUGAUACUGCGAGACUAGAGUAAGGGAGGGGGAACCGGAAUUCUCGGUGUAGCAGUGAAAUGCGUAGAUAUGGAGAGGAACACUCGUGGCGAAGGCGGGUUCCUGGACAUUAGCUGACGCUGAGGCACGAAGGCCAGGGGAGCGAAAGGGAUUAGAUACCCUUGUAGUG